CUCUAGCCCCGAUAGAAGUGAUAUCCUUUUGUUCUGGGGUUAAGAACAAAAGAUAUAACGGAUAGCGGGACUAAAG
rnacentral:sRNA from 1 species